UGUUGCACAUGUGUAUGACAGAUGUCACAACCAAACUUUGGCAAUUGGUAAUGGCAGAUCCAGAUUGGCUCUGGGCAGAUCCAAUAGUUUUAAACUUCAACAGAGUACCUGCCUUCAAGGAAGUUA